GGUUGAACCGUCGACCGGCCGGAGAAACAGUCCGGUCAACCCCUUUAACCCGGUGAGUAUAUUAAACUGGACUCAACCGGUACAACCCGCGGUUCAACCGCGAAACCGCCGACCCGGAACGGGUUUUGAUGAACCGGCGCGGGUGACUCAGGAGAGAGGAAGAAGAGUGAGAGGGGUGAUUCGGUGCCGGUGAAGAGGAAGAAGAGUGAGAGAGGGGUGGAUUCGGUGCCGGUGGUGGUGGAUUCGGUGCCGACGGUGGUGGACUCGAGAGAGGGGUGGAGUGAUCCAUGGUGGUGGUGGAUUCGGUGUCGGUGGUGGUGGCCCGCGGCGAGAGCUGAGAGAGAACCGAGAGAGAGAGAAGCGUGAGUCGCAGAGAGAGACGUGAGAGCUCCGACUCUGAGCUCUGAUGAUCUGAUCUAAACAGAGAGAGAGA
rnacentral:lncRNA from 1 species